rnacentral:rRNA from 1 species
UGAGGAAUAUUGGGCAAUGCCCGCAAGGGUGACCCAGCAACGCCGCGUGGAGGAUGAAUGUCGUAAGAUUGUAAACUCCUGUUAGAGGGGAAGAAUAGUACCGGUUGGACUAGUAUAUGACUGUACCCUCAGAGAAAGCCCCGGCUAACUACGUGCCAGCAGCCGCGGUAAUACGUAGGGGGCAAGCGUUGUCCGGAUUUACUGGGUGUAAAGGGCGCGCAGGCGGGAUAAAAAGUCAGUGGUGAAAUCCUACAGCUUAACUGUAGAACUGCCUUUGAUACUUUUAUUCUUGAGUUCGGGAGAGAGAGACGGAAUUCCAGGUGUAGUGGUGAAAUACGUAGAUAUCUGGAAGAACACCAGUUGCGAAGGCGGUCUCUUGGUCCGACACUGACACUGAGGCGCGAAAGCGUGGGGAGCAAACA